GCAAGAGCGUUACGGACACCAGGGGGACGCUGAGCCUGGUCGCAAAGAUGGCGGAUAGCAACCGUUGCUAAGGUCCUGAAGCUACCAGACAAGAUGAAGUUCCGUGGGGAGUGCUCUGUGCUUCCUCUCGGUGACAUUGUUUUCGUUUCCUGUGUUUUGGCCUGCGGCUGUAAGGCAGGUUCCAGUUCAAAAGAUGAAUUAUGUAAAGCAGCGGUGCUGGAGUCCACCAUCUACGCAUUUGUAAGCGGGCCACAGUUCAACAGCCCCCUCUACCGAGAUCGAACCGAUCUACAACCUACAACUGAUCCACAGACUAA